rnacentral:rRNA from 1 species
GACGUAGGGGGCCAGCGUUGCUCGGAAUUACUGGGUGUAAAGGGUUCGUAGGCGGUGUGGCAAGUCGGGAGUGAAAUCUCUGGGCUCAACCCAGAGUCUGCUUCCGAAACUGCUGUGCUAGAGUGUGAGAGAGGCGAGUGGAAUUACGGGUGUAGCGGUGAAAUGCGUAGAUAUCCGUAGGAACAUCCGAGGCGAAGGCGGCUCGCUGGAUCACAACUGACGCUGAGGGACGAAAGCUAGGGGAGCAAACAG